GAGAGACGGAAUUGGCCGCUGCGCCUCCUCCCGAGGCAUGCUGGGAGCCUGGAGGACUAGUGAGGAGGAGUUGAGAGAACGGAGCGGACGCCAUGGCGACCAACAUCGAGCAGAUUUUUAGGUCUUUCGUGGUCAGUAAAUUCCGGGAAAUUCAACAGGAGCUUUCAAGUGGAAGGAGUGAAGGACAGCUCAAUGGUGAAACAAACACACCUAUUGAAGGAAACCAGGCAGGUGAUGCCGCUGCCUCUGCCAGGAGCCUACCAAAUGAAGACAUAGUUCAGAAGAUAGAGGAAGUACUUUCUGGGGUCUUAGAUACAGAAUUACGAUAUAAGCCAGACUUGAAGGAGGCAUCCAGAAAAAGUAGAUGUGUGUCUGUCCAAACAGAUCCUACUGAUGAAAUUCCUACCAAAAAGUCGAAGAAGCAUAAAAAGCACAAAAAUAAAAAGAAGAAAAAGAAGAAAGAAAAGGAGAAAAAGUAUAAAAGACAGUCAGAAGAAUCUGAGUCAAAGCCGAAAUCACAUCACGAUGGGAACAUAGAAUCGGAUUCCUUUUUGAAGUUUGAUUCUGAACCUUCAGAGCUGGCACUGGAGCAUCCUGUGAGAGUGUUUGGCCUGUCUGACACCAGUGAGUGUCCCGCAGUUGGGCUUGAACAUCCUGUGGUUUCGAUGGAAGUCUCAGAGCCACACACCUUAGAAACUCUGAAGCCAGCUACAAAACAUACAGAACUGUCAGUUGCAUCUACAUCAGUAGUAUUAGUGCAGUCAGAGGCAGUAAUGCUGGAACCAUCCACAACAAAGAUUCUGGAUUCCUUUGCAACAGCACCAGUGCCUACUACAACAGUAGUGCUAAAGUCAUCUGAGCCAGUGGUAACAAUGUCAGUGGAGUGUCAGGUGAAAUCUGUGCAGAAAUCUUUGGAGAGCGCACCUCCAGAGCCAUCAGAGAUUAUGUUGCUAGAGUUAUCAGAAACUCUUGUGUCAUCAGAGACACCUACUGAGGUGCACCCUGAGCCAAACACGUCAACAACAAUGGAUUUUCCAGAGUCGUCAGCAACUGAAGUGCUAAGAUUGCCAGAGCAGCCUGUAGAAGGACCAUCAGAGAUUGCAGAUUCAUCCAUGACACGACCGCAGGAGAUGCUGGAGCUGCCCAAGACCACAGCGUUGGAGCUGCAGGAGUCGUCGGUGGCCUCAGUGAUGGAGUUGCCGGGGCCACCUGCGACCUCCAUGCCGGAGUUGCAGGGGCCCCCUGUGACUCCAGUGCUGGAGUUACCUGGGCCCUCUGCUACCCCGGCACCAGAGUUGCCAGGGCCCCUUUCUACCCCAGUGCCUGAGUUGCUAGGGCCCCCUGCAACAGCAGUGCCUGAGUUGGCGGGGCCCUCUGUGACAUCAGUGCCACAGUUGUCACAGGAAUUGUCAGCGCUUCCAGCACCAUCCAUGGGGUUGGAGCCACCACAGGAGGUACCAGAGCCACCUGUGAUGGCACAGGAGUUACCAGGGCUGCCUGCGGUGACAACAGCAGUAGAGUUGCCAGGGCAGCCUGUGGUAACAGUAGCAAUGGAGUUGACCGAACAACCUGUGACGACGACAGAGUUGGAGCAGCCUGUGGGGAUGACAGCGGUGGAACAUCCUGGGCAGCCUGAGGUGACAACGGCAACAGGGUUGCUGGGGCAGCCUGAGGCAGCAAUGGUGCUGGAGUUGCCAGGACAGCCGGUGGCAACGACAGCGCUGGAGUUGUCAGGGCAGCCUUCGGUGACUGGGGUGCCAGAGUUGCCAGGGCUGCCUUCGGCAACUAGGGCGCUGGAGUUGUCGGGGCAGCCUGUGGCAGCUGGGGCACUGGAGUUGCCUGGGCAGCUCAUGGCAGCUGGGGCACUGGAGUUCUCGGGGCAGUCUGGGGCAGCUGGAGCCCUGGAGCUUCUGGGGCAGCCUUUGGCAACAGGGGUGCUGGAGUUGCCAGGGCAACCUGGGGCGCCAGAGUUGCCUGGGCAGCCUGUGGCAACUGUGGCGCUGGAGAUCUCUGUUCAGUCUGUGGUGACAACGGAGCUGUCAACGAUGACCGUGUCGCAGUCCCUGGAGGUGCCCUCGACGACAGCGCUGGAGUCCUAUAAUACGGUAGCACAGGAGCUGCCUACUACAUUAGUGGGGGAGACUUCUGUAACAGUAGGAGUGGAUCCCUUGAUGGCCCAGGAAUCCCAUAUGUUAGCUUCUAACACCAUGGAGACCCAUAUGUUAGCAUCCAACACCAUGGACUCCCAAAUGCUAGCGUCCAACACCAUGGACUCUCAAAUGCUAGCAUCCAACACCAUGGACUCCCAGAUGUUAGCCUCUAGCACCAUGGACUCCCAGAUGUUAGCAACCAGCUCCAUGGACUCCCAGAUGUUAGCAACCAGCUCCAUGGACUCCCAGAUGUUAGCAACCAGCUCCAUGGACUCCCAGAUGUUAGCAACCAGCUCCAUGGACUCUCAGAUGUUAGCAACCAGCUCCAUGGACUCCCAGAUGCUAGCCACCAGCUCCAUGGACUCUCAGAUGUUAGCAACCAGCACCAUGGACUCCCAGAUGUUAGCCACUAGCUCUAUGGACUCCCAGAUGUUAGCAUCUGGCACUAUGGACUCUCAGAUGUUAGCUUCUGGCUCCAUGGAUGCUCAGAUGUUAGCGUCUGGUACCAUGGAUGCCCAGAUGUUAGCAUCUAGUACCCAAGAUUCUGCUAUGUUGGGUUCAAAAUCUCCUGAUCCCUACAGGUUAGCUCAGGAUCCUUACAGGUUAGCUCAGGAUCCGUAUAGGUUAGGUCAUGACCCUUACAGGCUAGGUCAUGAUGCCUACAGGUUAGGGCAGGACCCCUAUAGAUUAGGCCAUGAUCCCUACAGACUAACUCCUGAUCCCUAUAGGAUGUCACCUAGACCCUAUAGGAUAGCACCCAGGUCCUAUAGAAUAGCUCCCAGGCCAUAUAGGUUAGCACCUAGACCCCUGAUGUUAGCAUCUAGACGUUCUAUGAUGAUGUCCUAUGCUGCAGAACGUUCCAUGAUGUCAUCUUAUGAACGCUCUAUGAUGUCUUACGAGCGGUCUAUGAUGUCCCCUAUGGCUGAGCGUUCUAUGAUGUCAGCCUACGAGCGCUCUAUGAUGUCAGCCUAUGAGCGCUCUAUGAUGUCCCCUAUGGCUGAGCGCUCUAUGAUGUCAGCCUACGAGCGCUCUAUGAUGUCAGCCUACGAGCGCUCCAUGAUGUCCCCAAUGGCUGACCGAUCUAUGAUGUCCAUGGGUGCUGACCGGUCUAUGAUGUCGUCAUACUCUGCUGCUGACCGGUCUAUGAUGUCAUCGUACUCUGCAGCUGACCGAUCUAUGAUGUCAUCUUAUACUGCUGAUCGUUCAAUGAUGUCUAUGGCAGCUGAUUCUUACACCGAUUCUUACACUGAUACAUACACGGAGGCAUAUAUGGUGCCACCUUUGCCUCCUGAAGAGCCUCCAACAAUGCCACCAUUGCCACCUGAAGAGCCACCAAUGACACCACCAUUGCCUCCUGAGGAGCCACCAGAAGGUCCAGCGUUAGCCACUGAGCAGUCAGCAUUAACAGCUGAAAAUACAUGGUCUGCUGAGGUGCCAGCAUUACCUCCUGAAGAGUCUGUAUCGCUGCCUGAACCUCCUGUGAGUCAAAGUGAGAUUGCAGAGCCUUUGGCAGUGACUGCUAAUUAUUCAGUGUCAGCAUCAGAGCCUUCAGUGUUAGCAUCAGAGGCUGCCGUGACUGUUCCAGAACCACCGCUAGAGCCAGAGUCUUCAGUUAUGUCAACACCUGUAGAGUCUGCUGCUGUAGCAGAAGAGCAUGAAAUUGUUGCAGAGAGACCAGUGACUUACCUGGUGUCUGAAACUCCCACAACAUCAGCUGAACCAACUGUGUUAACCUCAGAGCCUUCUGUUAUGUCAGAAACAGCAGAAACUUAUGAUUCCAUGAGGGCUUCAGGACAGACUGCCUCAGAGGUAUCUAUGUCCCUGCUGGAGCCAGCAGUACCUAUUGCAGAACCAUCACAGAGCACUGUAGAUCUGCCAGCCAUGACUGUCUUAGAGCCGCCAUCUGUGGCUGUUUCAGAGCACCCAGCUGGGACUGUUUCAGAGACAUCAACCAUGGCUGUCCCAGAGCCACAGGCUGAGGCUGUCCUAGACCCUCCAGCUGCAGCUGUCCUGGACCCACCAACUGAGGCUGUCCCAGAGUCCCUGGCCUUGUCUGAGCCAGAGCAUGUUACCAUUCCUUUGCCAGUUGUUUCUGUCCUGGAGCCUACUGUGCCUAUCCUGGAACCAGUGGUGUCUAUCCUUCAACCUAAUGUGAUUGUUUCAGAACCAUCUAGUUGUGUCCAAGAGUCCACUGUGACAAUUUCAGAGCCUCCUGUCACUGUCUCAGAGCAGACUCAAGUAAUACCAACUGAGACAGUUGUAGAGUCUACACCAGUAAUAUUAGAGUCUAGUGUUAUAAAAGGAAUGAAUUUACUAUCUGGUGAUCAAAAUAUUGCUUCAGAGAUUGGCAUACAGGAGAUAGCCAUGCAUUCAGAUGAAGAGCCACGUGCUGAAGGACUCCUGAAGAGUGGCUCUAACGAAACUGAAAGUUGUAUAAAUACAGACCUUAAUAUAAAUAAUCACUUAAUUGCUCAAGAGAUGGAACAUAUCACAGUGUCUGCUGCCAGCACUGGUGCUGUUGGUGAAAUUGGUGAAGAGACAAUUUUGCCUACUAGUGAGACUAAACAAUGCACAGUGUUGGAUACCUGUCCUAGUGUUGGUGAAACUGAGCUAGGAGGAACUCUGUCUUCUAUUGGUCCCCUUGUCCUUGAACCUGAAGCAGUGGGAACUGGUAAGGAUCUUGAAUUUGGCACAGCAUCUGCUCUCAGUUCAGUUAGUAAAUAUGAUGUUGAAGUAUCUUUAACUACUCAAGAUACUGAACAUGACAUGGUAAUUUCCACCAGCCCCAGUGGUGGUAGUGAAGCUGACAUAGAGGGACCUUUGCCUGCUAAAGACAUUCAUCCUGAUUUACCUAAUAAUUUUAUCAGUAAGGAUGCAGAAGGAUCAUUACCUGUACAGGAGAGUGAUCAGAUGUUAGCAGCUGCUGUAAGUCCUAAAGAAAGUAGUGGAGAAGAUAAAGAAGUGUCUCUCUCUACUAAAGAGAUAGUGUCUGAUUCAGGAUUUCCUGCCAGCAUUGAUGAUAUUAAUGAAGCUGAUUUAGUGAGACCAUUACUUCCUAAGGACAUGGAACGUCUUACAAGCCUUAGAGCUGGUAUUGAAGGACCUUUACUUUCGAGUGAGGUGGAACGGGAUAAAUCUGCUGCCAGUCCAGUUGUAAUUAGCAUACCAGAAAGAGCUUCAGAGUCGUCUUCAGAGGAAAAAGAUGAUUAUGAAAUUUUUGUAAAAGUUAAGGACACACAUGAAAAAAGCAAGAAAAAUAAGAACCGUGACAAAGGCGAGAAAGAGAAGAAAAGAGACUCUUCAUUAAGAUCGAGAAGUAAACGUUCCAAGUCUUCUGAACACAAAUCUCGAAAGCGCACCAGUGAAUCUCGUUCUAGGGCCAGGAAGAGGUCAUCUAAGUCCAAGUCUCAUCGGUCUCAAACACGUUCGAGGUCACGAUCACGACGCAGGAGGAGGAGCAGCAGGUCAAGAUCAAAGUCUAGAGGAAGGCGAUCUGUAUCAAAAGAGAAGCGCAAAAGAUCUCCAAAGCACAGAUCCAAGUCCAGGGAAAGAAAAAGAAAAAGAUCAAGCUCCAGGGAUAACCGGAAAACAGGUAGAGCUCGAAGUCGCACCCCAAGUCGUCGGAGCCGGAGUCACACUCCAAGCCGUAGGAGAAGAUCCAGAUCCGGGGGGAGAAGGAGCUUUAGCAUUUCCCCAAGCCGACGGAGUCGGACCCCAAGUCGACGGAGCCGCACCCCUAGCAGACGGAGCCGCACCCCGAGCCGUCGGAGCCGGACCCCGAGCCGUCGGAGCCGGACCCCAAGCCGUCGGAGCCGGACCCCGAGCCGUCGGAGAAGAUCAAGGUCUGUGGUAAGAAGGCGAAGCUUCAGUAUAUCACCAGUCAGAUUACGGCGAUCACGAACACCCUUGAGAAGAAGGUUUAGCAGGUCUCCAAUCCGUCGCAAACGAUCCAGGUCUUCAGAAAGAGGCAGAUCACCUAAACGUCUCACAGAUUUGAAUAAGGCUCAGUUACUUGAAAUAGCCAAAGCUAAUGCAGCUGCCAUGUGUGCUAAGGCUGGUGUUCCUUUACCACCAAACCUAAAGCCUGCACCUCCACCUACAAUAGAAGAGAAAGUUGCUAAAAAGUCAGGAGGAGCUACUAUAGAAGAACUAACUGAGAAAUGCAAACAGAUUGCACAGAGUAAAGAAGAUGAUGAUGUAAUAGUGAAUAAGCCGCAUGUUUCGGAUGAAGAGGAAGAAGAACCUCCUUUUUAUCAUCAUCCCUUUAAACUCAGUGAACCCAAACCCAUUUUUUUCAAUCUGAAUAUUGCUGCAGCAAAGCCAACUCCACCAAAAAGCCAGGUAACAUUAACAAAAGAAUUCCCUGUAUCAUCUGGAUCUCAACAUCGGAAAAAAGAAGCCGAUAGUGUUUAUGGAGAGUGGGUCCCUGUAGAGAAAAACGGUGAAGAAAACAAAGAUGAUGAUAAUGUUUUCAGCAGCAAUUUGCCCUCUGAGCCUGUGGACAUCUCUACAGCAAUGAGUGAACGGGCACUUGCUCAGAAAAGACUCAGCGAGAAUGCAUUUGACCUUGAAGCUAUGAGCAUGUUAAAUCGUGCUCAGGAACGGAUUGAUGCCUGGGCUCAGCUGAACUCUAUUCCCGGCCAGUUCACAGGAAGUACAGGAGUGCAGGUUUUGACACAAGAACAGUUGGCCAAUACUGGUGCCCAAGCCUGGAUUAAAAAGGGCCAAAUCCUUGUAGCUGUCUUCUUGCCCCGGUCAGUGCCAGCCCUACUAUUCACAACACUGCUGCUACCGAGGCCUAGGAUCAGUUCUUAAGAGCAGCCCCAGUAACUGGAGGGAUGGGAGCCGUUUUGAUGAGGAAAAUGGGCUGGAAAGAAGGAGAAGGAUUAGGAAAAAACAAAGAAGGAAAUAAGGAACCUAUCCUAGUUGAUUUUAAGACAGAUCGAAAAGGUCUUGUUGCAGUAGGGGAAAGAGCACAAAAGAGGUCCGGAAACUUCUCUGCUGCAAUGAAAGAUCUGUCAGGCAAACAUCCUGUGUCUGCCUUGAUGGAAAUCUGUAAUAAGAGAAGGUGGCAACCACCUGAAUUUCUCUUGGUCCAUGAUAGUGGCCCUGAUCAUCGCAAACAUUUUCUCUUUAGGGUAUUGAUAAAUGGAAGCGCUUACCAGCCCAGCUUUGCCAGCCCUAAUAAGAAGCAUGCUAAAGCCACAGCAGCUACUGUGGUUCUUCAAGCAAUGGGCCUUGUACCAAAGGACCUCAUGGCUAAUGCCACUUGCUUCAGGAGUGCCUCACGUAGAUAGAUUGAGGUUUUAUAUUAAUCAUUUCAGAUAAUUUUACUCUGCAUCAAAAUGUAUUUCCUCUUUAAUGUUGUAAAUAUUUGGCAAUUUAAGACAUUGUGUAAAAAAAGCAAUCUGUACAAACAUCUCCAGGCUUUGAUUUUUGUACCAUGGAAAUUGUAUUUAACCAUACAGGGUUUUGGUAUGUUUAUAUUGUUUACCUUAGUGAUGUAUUUGUUUAAGUGGCUAACAUCCAAACGACUGUUUGAAGGCAUCCGUAAUCUUCAGUGUGGAAUGUUAAAAAUAACGCUUUUAUACUGUAUUUUGUACUAUGAUGUAACUCCCCUUCCUUAUGGCUAGGCUGCUGUAACACUUGCCUGUAAUCAGUGAAGGGCUGUGCACCUUGUACUAGUUCACAAUGGGUUCUGCUGGACAGAUACUGGGCCAGUGUUAUUGCGUUAAUCAAGCAAGAUCUGUUCCGCAGGGCUAACGCCACCACCUCCCCUUUCAAAUUUUGUAGAGGUUAUGAAAAAGACAGUGGUUGUUGUGUGACGAUGAGCACUGAGUCCUGCGUUUCUGUCAGAGCCACUUGGGCCGUGAUGAGAAGGGAGUAAAAAUGAAGUCUGAAUAGAAUUUUACCGCAGAGGCCAAGUACAUUUAGUAUGGCAUUGAGUUGUGAUAUAGUUUUACUUUGAUGUGCAUUUUGAAUUUCAGCUACACCUAGAUAGACGUAAAAUGAUAAUUAAAAUGCUGUAACCAACUUAUCUAAUAAAAUCGGCACCCAGCCACUAUUUUGUUGACUAUGAGAAAGUUUAAGUUUAUGUUAAUUUUUAGGGUCUGAUAGAAUAUUUCAUGUGUAUUACAGUGGUAUUCAUAUGCUAUGUCUCUAAACUUUAUUUUCAAAAGCUUAAGGCCCAAAUAUAAACUUCUCUGGAAUAAA